GUAAUAUUAUAAGUGUAUCGUAUUUAUACCAGAUUCUUAUCCGACUACCGCGACCUGAUGGCGUGGAUCAACUCCAUGAUGGCGCUGGUGAGUUCGGAGGAGCUUGCCAACGACGUCACCGGCGCCGAAGCGCUGCUCGAGAGGCACCAGACCCAGCGUUUGGAGAUAGACGCGCGUUACGGCAUAAUGCCGCAGGUCAGACGAUUGCACGCAUGUGUGUCCAGAACCUAACUGUAUUAAUACACCGCGGACAAGUGGAUUGCUUUUGAUUGCUGUAAUUGUGGUUGAAACCAUAAUGGUAUUAGUAAUGUGAUGUACCAUCUAUUCAAUUCAUAAUUACAGACGUUAAAAGGAAUUCAUAUUGUACAGACAAUGUGCAGAUUUGUUUCGUAAUUCCAAAUUUGUUUUAAUUAAUUUUAUGUAUUAUUUUAAUGGCUUUAUAGGGUGCGUAGUGCCACAAGCCGUAAGCCCACAGCUUUAUAGAAACGUAGAUCAUAAUAAAACGUAAUGAUCUCAUCAGAAUAUCGAUUAGUGUAGCCAGUACUUCCUUUAGUUUAACUAUAUUUUUAGCCUGAAAAAAAAGUUUCUCAUUCUUAAAAUAGCCGGUCUCCUUCAUAAUAAAUUUUGCUAUCCUCAUUUAUAAGCUGACCCUGCCAGGCUAACAUACGUAUAGUCAGGUUAAAAAA